UGGGUAACCUGCCUCAAAGAGGGGAAUAGCCUCCCGAAAGGGAGAUUAAUACCGCAUAAUAUGCUUAAGUCGCAUGACUUUAACAUCAAAGGUAUUUUUCUUUUUAAGAAAUUCCACUUUGAGAUGGACCCGCGGUGCAUUAGCUAGUUGGUGAGGCAACGGCUCACCAAGGCAACGAUGCGUAGCCGACUGAGAGGGUGAUCCGGCCACAGUUGGAACUGAAGACACGGUCCAGAUCCCGUAA
rnacentral:rRNA from 1 species